rnacentral:rRNA from 1 species
UACGUAGGGGGCUAGCGUUGUCCGGAAUCAUUGGGCGUAAAGCGCGUGUAGGCGGUCCGGUAAGUCCGCUGUGAAAGUCGGGGGCUCAACCCUCGAAAGCCGGUGGAUACUGUCGGGCUCGAGUACGGAAGAGGCGAGUGGAAUUCCUGGUGUAGCGGUGAAAUGCGCAGAUAGUCAGGAGGAACACCAAUUGCGAAGGCAGCUCGCUGGGACGUUAACUG